rnacentral:rRNA from 1 species
AUACGUAGGGGGCAAGCGUUAUCCGGAUUUACUGGGUGUAAAGGGAGCGUAGACGGUAAAGCAAGUCUGAAGUGAAAGCUCGGGGCUCAACCCCGGAACUGCUUUGGAAACUGUUUUACUGGAGUGCAGGAGAGGUAAGCGGAAUUCCUAGUGUAGCGGUGAAAUGCGUAGAUAUUAGGAGGAACACCAGAGGCGAAGGCGGCUUACUGGACUGUAACUGACGUUGAGGCUCGAAGGCGUGGGGAGCAAACAGGAUUAGAUACCCUGGUAGUCCACGCGGUAAACGAUGGGCGCUCGUCGUCGGCGACAGACAGUCGGCGGCCAAGCGAAAGCGAUAAGCGCCCCACCUGGGGAGUACGGUCGCAAGGCUGAAACUCAAAUGAAUUGGCGGGG